rnacentral:rRNA from 1 species
CAGAAACUCAAGGAAUUGACGGGGCCGCACAAGCAGCGGAGCGUGUGGUUUAAUUCGAUGAUACGCGAAGAACCUCACCCAGGUUUGACAUGCAUGUGGUACCAAAGGUGAAAGCUGAGGGACCCUUCGGGGAGCAUGCACAGGUGUUGCACGGCCGUCGUCAGCUCGUGCCGUGAGGUGUUGGGUUAAGUCCCGCAACGAGCGCAACCCCCUGUCGCCAGUUGUAUUUUUCUGGCGAGACUGCCGAGAAAACCUCGGAGGAAGGAGGGGAUGAUGUCAGGUCAGCAUGGCCCUUACGCCUGGGGCUACACACACGCUACAAUGGGCAGUACAACGGGCAGCCAAGCCGCGAGGCGGAGCUAAUCCCAUCAAAGCUGUCCUCAGUUCGGAUUGCAGGCUGCAACUCGCCUGCAUGAAGCCGGAGUUGCUAGUAACCGCAGGUCAGCACUACUGCGGUGAAUACGUUCCCGGGCCUU